rnacentral:misc_RNA from 1 species
AAGUCGUAACAAGGUUUCCGUAGGUGAACCUGCGGAAGGAUCAUUAACACGUAUCCAAACGUUAAAACCCCCCCCGUGAACCUUCAUCCUGCUCUUGUAAUCCGCGUAGUUCGCAAUCUCUGAUAAAUCAUGACCCGGAAAGUUGUAGUGAUUCAGAGACCUCUGGCUACGUGCGAACAUUGGAACAGUUACAAUCGAGCGGUAGUUCUAUAGGCAAUGUUUCCCCAAGCAGUCAGUGUCGGAAAGUGUCAUUGAUUGUGCAAGGAGAGCGCUUCUACGAUUCCUGUAGACCGUACACUCGGGCAGGAGCUUUGCCAAAGGGUCCCCAUGCCCCCUAAUAACCCCCUC